GUUCUCAGAGCCCCACUUUCCUCCAUAUUCGCUCGUGCCCGAGCGGGGUGAACUCCGCUCCUGGCUGCCAGGGCCGACCGCAGGAAGGGAGCUGGGGGUGCGGUGGAAGGAUCUUGAAGGACCGGGCUCCCCAAGUCUCCAGGGGCCAGCAGAGACUAGAUGCGUCCCGGGGAGCCUUAAGUGCCCUGCUCUGUAUAGCGGGAAUCAUUUCUAGGGCACCAGGUCGUUGUAGGGGUGAUGUAAGAAAACGUUUUCUUUAUCUCUGCUGCUAACUGCUCAGAGUUCAGGGGCAAACAUGGAGAAACCAUCAGGAAAACCUCCAUGAAUCACACAAGUCACUCUCGAACUUCGGUGCGCGCCAGAAUGAGAUUUUCCAGGCCCCUCACCCUCCCCACAGCCCCAAUCUGAAUCUCUAAGGGGAGGCCUGGGUUUUUUUACACAGGCUUUACAGGUGUAUUUCCGCCACAAAGUCGGUAAGGCCAUCUGGCUUAAGUUUAAAAGAGCAGAUGAGGUGGCCUCUGAGCCUGCUCCCUGGGGACAUGAACCAGGGCUUUCUGCAUCUGCAGCCAACAGACAGUGCUCUCUAACGGCUGUUCUUCCCCUCAGUGCAGUCACUAAAUUGGACUGAACUGGGAGCAGGCAAACCCCAGGGCGCACUGCACCGCAGACCUGAUGACAGGGAAUGCCCAGGCAAUGGACACAAACCCUCUGGGGCCUCCAUUCACCCUAGAAAGGAGGCUGAUUGUGAGAAUGCAAGAAUAAGCAUGUGAACUCAAUGGCUGCUCUCAUUCCCUCAGCAAGCCUGCGCUGCUCCUUGUCCUGGGCAUGGGGCUUGGACCGAGAUGAUUGGGAGAGGGGCCCUGCCUCAUGAGGCUUGGGAAGGAGUUUCCACUGGGUUCAGUUCUGCAUGGUGUUGGGGCAAAGAGUAGGAGUAGUGCCUAUUCAGACUGGCCUCUUAGACCACACAUGCCAAGAUGAUGUCUACGGGCAGCUCCUCCGAACUUCUGGCUGUCACCUGCAUUGUUACUGUGUCCAAAAGCAGCAGCUGGGAGUGCACCAGGAUGUCAUGACCUCCCCAGAACACACCUAGAAGAGAAGGGAGUAGUACAAGUGUGCAAAGCAGAAGAGAGCUACAGAGCGAGGCUGAGGACGGUGUUUGCAGCAACUGAUCAAGGCAGCUCUGGUGCAGUGAAAUGGGAGUGGGCCUGGAACCAGGAGAGCUGGGCUGAAAUCCCUGAGGCCUUGUGCAAGUCACUUUACCUCUCUGAGCUGCAGUAUCCUCAACUACAAAGUGGAGGAGAUAAUACUAAAAUUAUUUCAAGAUUCUGCCAAGCUCAAUUGAAUUAGUGGACAUAUAAGGCUUGUAUGUGGCGUUACAGAGCUUCUCACACAUUGACUGAAUCUAAGAGCACAGAUGAAGGGACAGCCCCACCAUGACAAAACCGCAGAGCAGGUGUCUGCAAGACCCGGGGGACUGGGCUUGGGGGCUGUCAGCUGUGAGCAGGCCACUGUGGCAGAGCGCUGUAGCAGAGCUUCCUCCAACCCUGUUUAUAAACACUUAGCAAAAAGAAACUCCCCACUUCCUUUUGUUGGCUGUUUUAGGUGUGAUAACUGUAUUGCCCCCCCCUUAAAUGAAAGGUCAUUAUCUCUUAAAGAAACAUACAAAUACAGAAACAUUUACAUAUAAAAUGCUUUAUCUGGAAUUUUCUCUAAAAUACUCAAAGUACUAUUUUUCUCUUUAUACCGUUUUUCUCCCACACUGACAAGAUCAUAAAAUCUGAUAAUAUACUGUAUUGUCCAGGGUGUGGAAGGAAAGGCAUACAAUUCCUAUGAAAGGCAACUGGAAAUAUUUAUAAAGAUGAGAAACGCACUUUGACCUGGUAAUUCCUUGGGAAAUUUAUCCUAUAGAUAUCCUCAGUGCACAUGUGGAAAAUAAAGUAUGUGUAUGUA